rnacentral:misc_RNA from 1 species
ACGACUGCAUCGCUGGUGCGCGCAGACACAGACUGUAGUGCGUGGCGAAUGAAGAGAGGAGAAAGGGCCGUCACACUCUCCCUCCCUCGUACCGCUCUGGCUUCUGGGCAGCGUGCAAGGCACCCAUGCACCCACACACGCACAAAUUUCAGCAACGCCCUUCCGUUGCCGCUGUUGUAACGGCCGCCACCCUACAGCCUCUGCUUUUCCAACGCUGUGUGGCUGUUUCGUCGCGAGGGAGAGGUGAGUGGGGGACGCCCACCACCAGCGAUACCGCGAAGAGCAUGCAGCGCAGCAUCUCUCUUGCACCGCUUUCACUUCCUCCCUCAUCCUGCGCUUAUCGAGUGCGCGUGUACCGUGACGCACAGUUCCCUCACUCAGUGCUCGGCGGGACACGAUGCGCGACGAAGUCCGUGAUGAUGGCCUACAUGCAACGCCGCCGUCGAGCAGUUGUGACAGCCACAAUGGCAGUCAUGUCCUCCAUGACCCAGAGCUGCUUGACUUGAUGGAGGCUGCGGAGGAUACGGCGCUGUUCUUCCGCGUUCGAUCCGACUACAGCGAGGCACCGCCUUCCAACAAUGAAAUCGCUUUUAGCAUGUCAGAGCAAAAGCCCACCGCCGCGAGCACAGACGGCCCGGCAACCGUCGAUAUACCUGCCGCAGCGUCGCUGCCUUGCCUGCCCACUUCGCUCCUCGUUGGCGGAUCGCUGUUUGUGCGUGAGACUCCGGUGCCGUCGCCCGCUGCCAUAGCGCACGGCAAGACGUCAUCUCCCUUCGGAGCGGCGGGUGUCCCAGCUGGCUCGGUCCUCUGCCCUUUCACGCGCGGCUUUGUCUCCAUGUGCUCGCCACACUGGGGCCACCUGUGCGCUGUCGGUUUCAGAGUUCGUAUGUCGCUGCACGGUGGCAGGCGUGUGGUGCUACAGAAGCCGCACCUACUGCUAGCCCGCGCACGUCAGCUGCAGGAUUGCACCAUGCAAGACAGCCUCAGGAUACCCAGCAAGUCGACGCAGCCUCACAGCGCCAGCUCUGCGAAGACGCUCAAGGGCUCUAGGUGCACGGAGACGAGAAAGAGGCGUCCAGCAGCGCUUUUCCAGAUGUGGGGCUGGAGCCCGCACCUGCAGCAGACUCUCGGCGCCACAUUGUGCUCGGCCCCACUGGAGAGCGUGGCCGCCUUCCGUGCUGCGGUAGAGGCAAAUAUGCUCACUGGAGGCUUCUGUAAAGGCGCACAACUCAUACCAGUCGCGGGGGCUCGUGGCAGUCGUGCGGUGAUGCCAGCUCCUUUCAGCUUAGGGCAGCGCACCACGUCCGUGAGAGAUGGAACCCGAGAAGGACAGGCAGCGGCGCGCUGCCCGUGGAACACCCGAUGCCGCGUCCUGCAGCCCCCCUCCUCCUUGAGGCUGGGCUGCUCGUCUACAAGCGCGGCCGCGUCGUGGGUCACCGCGUCGGCAUCUGAGCCGAUGGGAUCGCCGCCGAAACUCCCGCAUCCGUGGCAUGCGUGGACAGAAGCCCACACGGACCGCCCCACGUUGCGGCUAUUCGGCCUACCCGCCUCGGUGCGCGCUGCUUUUCUCGACGUUCCUUUCCCCUCGCCCUCCACAUCCUCGUCGUCGCCGACUCCAGCAGCGCUGAUGGAGGCCGCCUGCGGUGCCGCGCUGUCCCAGCUGGCGGGGCAGGUGCAAGAUGCGGUGGAGCAGGGCCAGCUUGCCGCGACGUCGCGACUAUACUUCUGCCCCCUCGCCCAUGCCGUGGACUACAGUGGCACUCUUGACUUGCGUGCGUUUUCUGUGGAGUGGGGCCGGCGGCACUGCGACGGCGGUGGCGCAUCCGCUGCGCCGCGAAUAACAGCGGUACUCAGUGACUCGUGCCCUGUGCUAUCGCUCGGAGCGGAGCUGCCCAUAGGCGAUGAUGCUGAUCCUCCUGAUGCGGCGGCCGGACGCGCCGCUUCCACUCCGCCGCUGAGAGUGGUCUUCUUCAGCAACGCCCACAUGCUGUCGAAGCGAGCGAUUCGCCGCUUACUAGAUCAAUGGACCCGGAAUGGAGCGUCAGUGCGCAAGCUACGCCAGCAGCAGCAGCGCGCGCGGGCCGGGCCGCGCGAGUGGCGCACGCUCAUGGGUAGCCGCCUGCUUCUUCCGCUUGAUGCCGCGGCCAUCCUGCCCCACGUCCGAAGUCUCUCGACUCCCUUCGGCGACGUACAGGCCGUCUUUAUUGGUUACACGGCAAGCCAAGGCCCUGUCGAGGGGGCGAAGGUGAUGAAUCCGCCAUCUGAUGUGGGUAAGCAUGCGCCACUUCCUCUGCCGGUGUUACCAUCAUCAACAACGCCUGUAGGCUUCCCCGUGCGCGUCGAGCUUGCGGUGAGCGCGAGCGCGCAUUCGGACUUGCUUCAUGUCGAGGAACCCCUCUCCGCUGCUCUGCUCCGUGCAUCCACCCUCUAUCGCAGGUGCCUCGACGCAGCACAGCGUCGUGAGUUGGUGGAGGCGGUGGUGCAGAGCACUGUGGAUGGCGCGCCAGCGGGAGCCGUCUUCGCAAAGCGGGAGUCACAGCGACUCUCUAGUGGUCGCAUUUUAUCCGAAACCAGUAAAGUGCCCCUAACUAGCACUCAAGGUCGCCUGCAGCUGCACGAGGCGUGCGAGGCUGCGCUGUCGCUCUUAUCCCCACUGGAAGGCUUCCUGCACCCACACCUCGGCACUGAGGGAACUGGCGGCAACCGUCCUGCGAGGGACGACGACGUCGUGUCGCUGCUUGUCAUGUACCCACUCUUGAGCACCGUGCGCAUUCGCCACGUACUGCUAAGCGCUUUUCACGUACGUGUCACGCCGACCUCCACCGCAGGUGAUGAGGCUCCAUCGACUGUGGCUGCUGCUGCUGCUGCUGUCGAUGGCCCCGUCGCAGCUGGGGAGAUGGUGUGUGUGCGCGUCGGCAGCGACAGUGGCCCUGCCGGUGCCGCAACGGCGCCUCCCUCCAACCCCCGCGUCCGCUUUGUCGCGUCGCGCCGGCGCGCCAAUGAGAAUGAGCAGCGGGAGUUUCAUGCCCUGCUGCAGGCGGCGAAGGUGCGUGCCGCGGCGGAGGCCUCAGUGACGGCGACCCCUUCCUGUGUGCCGCGCGCACCGCUUCUUUUUCAAGCGUAUGCCGCUCACGUGGAGCCUCCGGUGCUGCUGGGGUUGUGGACGCCGACGCUGCUCUUCCGGGCCCCGACUUUGGCGGAUAUGAUGGCGUUGCGCUGCUUCUUGUUAGAGCCACUCCGCGCCAGCUACGCAGCCUCGCACCGAACUCCUACAGAUGCGCUGCAUCGCGCCGGCUUCGCGGACGGCGGCGGUGGCGGUGACAUGAUCGCGCUUCGAGUGGAUGAUGUGGACGUCAUUCACUUUGACUACGCCGACAGGGCAACGCGCCACAGGCGCACCCACCGCCUGUUUGGUGUCCGGGCAUCCUUGUGCCCCGCAUCUGCAGCUACACCGCCCCCGCGAACAGGAGCCGGCGCGGUGGGCGAGGAGAGUCUGCGGGACGCGAGCGGCCGCAACCCCAUCGCGCGCGAGCUGGCACUGUUGGAGACGCUGCUGCAGCAGUGUCUCAAGGAAUGUGCGCGGACAGCGGCGUUUUUCCCGCUGUGGACGGAGCACCGCCGCUACGACGACGCCGCUCCCUGUGCUACCACGCACCAAAGCAGCGUGGCGGGCCCCAUGACGAACCAUGGCGAUGGUGGCCCCGCAGGGCUCAACUUGCUGCCCUUCCCGUUCUUUCCCUCCAGCACCAAUCACCGUCCCUUCCUCGACUUUCCUGGCGUGAUGGAGUCGUUGGCGUCGUGGGCACCACGAUCGACAGAGCUGCGCCUUUUGAGCUUGGCUGCGGCACAACGGCCUUCCCUCUCCCUGACGAUCCGCAGUCGAGUGGUGCUGCUGGAGUCGGUGUACGUGCCGGAAAGCGACGAGGUGGACGCACCGGACGACGAUGCCGAGAAGGUUGCAGCAAGGAGCGGGAGAAAGGGCCCAAACCGCGUGGUUGUUCGACGCGGGCAGGUGUGCGAGGUGGCCGGCUUUGUUCCCUGCGGCCUUCUCCUUGGCUGUGGAGCGGCGUCAACGGCGUCGGAGGGCGCCGGGGGAUCCAGGAGCCGCGACGAGAGCGCUACGCGUCGGAUGUCUCUUCCACCCCUCGUGCGGCAGCAGGUGGCUGGUUGGUCCCUCACUGAGCGGCGACUGAUAGAGCACUACAUGGCACAGCAGCGGCACGCAUCGGCCUUGCCGUUGCUGCGCUGUUGCGCCGCUUCCCAGCGCAGCUGGGAAGAUCACCUGAGACAGCCGGGCACCAGCCUUUUCGUGCUUGCUCCACGCUGCACCGUUGUCGGCGGCUACCGCUCCCUUCACUACUACGGCCUGCCGCUGCUUCACCUGCCAUUGCUCAUCUUGGCUGGCGACUUAGCCCGCUCUCAGCCUUCCCACUCGGCCGUGAGCCCCUCCAAGCUGAGCAAGACCGCCCUAGGGUCUUGCAUAGCGUCGCGCGCGUCUGCCUCGGACAGCGAUAUUGGCGUACCGCCAGCACUUCUCACCGCCACCUCGCCCUCGGCCUCCUUCGACUAUGCCCUGCCUCAUCUCUUUCACCCGCAUCACGCCGACCCGGCCAGCUGCAGGGCAACUCUGUGCUUGACAUCACAGGAGCGACAGCAGGCCCUCGAUCUACUCUUCGCACAACUGCGCAGCGCCACUGCCACGGUCAGUGAUGGCCCGAAAGCGGCUUGUGGAAACGACACCUCACCACGCUCUCCUAUAUCCUUUGUGGAGGACAUUCUCUUUUCUGAAAUGCCUGAUGGCACUCGCAACGGGAAACCCGCGGAUGCUGUUACUGCAGGUGACCGUAACAGCAGUGAUGCGCACGCGGUGUUCACGCCACCAGUGUGCUGUCCGCUGCUGACCGAACUGGCCCUCUACUCGCGCGUGCGGUAGACCAUCUCCAGCCCGUGCAUGAGGGCCUCGACAACGCCGCGCUCGUUUCUAAGCGGCACACAUGCGCGUGCGCUGAGAGGUAGUAGAGUACUGAAAAGGAGGAAAAAUGAGCGUAGUCUUCAUCGAUUCAGCUAUCCAUUGGAGAUCUCAGCGUGCAAAUACAUGCGCGUGCGUGCUCCUCACCACGCCGUGGCCUCCUUCCUUUUUUUUUCGGCGGGUGGGGAGAAGGGGGGCUGUAACGGGAACCGCCGUGCACUUGAUAAGUGUCCUCCACUUUGUUGUUGACUGGAUUGCUUCCCCACGUGCACGCCUCCCUCCUCUUCCCAUUUCUCCCUCUGUUCUUCUCUGCUCCCAUCGCUGAAGGGACACGGAGCGCAUCUGCUCCUCUUGAUCUGCUGCCGCUGCUGCUCUUCUUUUUUUUUUUGGAUGGGGUGGCGGAGAAGGGGGCGCUCUCCUCUUUUUUUUUUGUGGGCGCUCUCGUUGUGGACUUCAGGCCGCCUCGCCCCGACCCCGCCCCGCUUUUGGCUUGUCU